GCUGAUGCGUUGUUGGGUAGGGGAGCGUUCUGUAAGCCUGCGAAGGUGGCCUGUGAGGGUUGCUGGAGGUAUCAGAAGUGCGAAUGCUGACAUAAGUAACGAUAAAGCGGGUGAAAAGCCCGCUCGCCGGAAGACCAAGGGUUCCUGUCCAACGUUAAUCGGGGCAGGGUGAGUCGACCCCUAAGGCGAGGCCGAAAGGCGUAGUCGAUGGGAAACGGGUUAAUAUUCCCGUACUUGGUGUUACUGCGAAGGGGGGACGGAGAAGGCUAUGUUGGCCGGGCGACGGUUGUCCCGGUUUAAGCGUGUAGGUGUGUGUUCCAGGUAAAUCCGGUUCACUUUAACACUGAGGCGUGACGACGAGGCACUACGGUGCUGAAGCAACAAAUGCCCUGCUUCCAGGAAAAGCCUCUAAGCAUCAGGUAACACGAAAUCGUACCCCAAACCGACACAGGUGGUCAGGUAGAGAAUACCAAGGCGCUUGAGAGAACUCGGGUGAAGGAACUAGGCAAAAUGGUGCCGUAACUUCGGGAGAAGGCACGCUGACACGUAGGUGAAGUGAUUUACUCAUGGAGCUGAAGUCAGUCGAAGAUACCAGCUGGCUGCAACUGUUUAUUAAAAACACAGCACUGUGCAAACACGAAAGUGGACGUAUACGGUGUGACGCCUGCCCGGUGCCGGAAGGUUAAUUGAUGGGGUCAGCGCAAGCGAAGCUCCUGAUCGAAGCCCCGGUAAACGGCGGCCGUAACUAUAACGGUCCUAAGGUAGCGAAAUUCCUUGUCGGGUAAGUUCCGACCUGCACGAAUGGCGUAAUGAUGGCCAGGCUGUCUCCACCCGAGACUCAGUGAAAUUGAACUCGCUGUGAAGAUGCAGUGUACCCGCGGCAAGACGGAAAGACCCCGUGAACCUUUACUAUAGCUUGACACUGAACAUUGAGCCUUGAUGUGUAG
rnacentral:rRNA from 1 species